UUUGUAUUACGUGCGGAAAUUGUUACCAUUUUUGACCCGAAAAUGGUAACAAUUUCCGCACGUAAUACAAA
rnacentral:miRNA from 1 species